rnacentral:rRNA from 1 species
UGGGGAAUAUUGGACAAUGGGCGCAAGCCUGAUCCAGCCAUGCCGCGUGAGUGAUGAAGGUCUUAGGAUUGUAAAGCUCUUUCACCGGAGAAGAUAAUGACGGUAUCCGGAGAAGAAGCCCCGGCUAACUUCGUGCC